rnacentral:rRNA from 1 species
AUGGACGACGGGAGCAUCGCGCUGCUGCUGCUGCUGCUCCCUGUCCUCCUCGCCGUCUACCUCCGGCGGCGCCGUGUCCCACCGGCCGCGGCGAGCGCGAACCACUGUCCGCACCCGAACCGGGUCCUCGGCAACACCGUGCCGCUCCUCCGCAACCUGCACCGCUUCCUCGACUGGGCCACGGACCAGCUCGCGGAGUCCCCGGCCUCCACCAUCGAGGUCCGCGGCCCGCUCGGCCUCGGCAGCGGCGUCGCCACCGCCAGACCGGAGGCCGUCGACCACCUCCUGCGCGCCAACUUCCCCAACUACGUCAAGGGCGCGCGCUUCGCGGUCCCCUUCGCCGACCUCCUCGGCCGCGGCAUCUUCCUCGCCGACGGCCGCCUCUGGAGCCUCCAGCGCAAGGUCGCCUCCUACUCCUUCUCGUCCCGCUCGCUCCGCCGCUUCUCCGGGCGGGUGCUCCGGGAGCACCUCCACUGCCGCCUCCUCCCGCUCCUCGACGCCUCCGCGGGCUCCGGCGUGGCCCUGGACCUGCAGGACGUGCUCCGGCGCUUCUCCUUCGACAACAUCUGCGGCGUGGCCUUCGGCGUCGAGAGCUCCACUCUGCUCGAGCUCGAGGCAGGGGAUCGCCGCAGCCGGAGGCACGAGGCGUUCUUCGCGGCGUUCGACGACGCCGUCGAGAUCUCCUUCGCGCGGAUACUCCACCCGACGACCCUGCUGUGGAGGGCGAUGAGGCUGGCCAACGUCGGGAGCGAGCGGCGGAUGCGCGAGGCCAUCGGGGUCAUCGACGAGUAUGUGAUGGGGAUGCUGGAGGCAGAGCAGCCGUCGUCCCCGGCCGAGGACGGCGAGCACGAGCAGCACCUCCUGUCGCGGUUCGCGUCGGCGCUGGACGCAGAAUCCACCGCCGCUGCCGGCAGAGAGCUCGGCGAGUUGUUCGGCUCGCCGGAUGCGAAGCGGCGGUUCCUGCGGGACGUGGUGGUGAGCUUCGUGCUGGCCGGGAAGGACAGCACGUCCUCCGCCCUCACCUGGUUCUUCUGGCUCCUCGCCGCCAACCCGCGCUGCGAGAGGCGCGUGCACGAGGAGGUCACGCGCACGGCGCACGGAGACGACGCCGGGGAAUACGAGGGGCUGAAGGGGAUGCACUACCUGCACGCGGCGCUCACGGAGGCGAUGCGGCUGUACCCGCCGGUGCCGAUCAACACGCGCGUGGCCGCGGCCGCGGACGUGCUGCCGGACGGCACGACGGUGCGGGCCGGCUGGUUCGCGGACUACUCCGCGUACGCGAUGGGGAGGAUGCCGCGGCUGUGGGGGGACGACUGCCGCGAGUUCCGACCCGAGCGGUGGCUCGGCGGUGAUCGCGGCGAGUUCGUGGUGGCCGACGCGGCGAGGUACCCGGUGUUCCAUGCGGGGCCGCGGGCGUCCCUCGGGAAGGAGAUGGCGUACGUGCAGAUGAAGGCCGUGGCGGCCGCCGUGAUCCGGAGGUUCACGAUGGAGAUGGUGGAGACGCCGGCGAGCAUGGACGCGCCGCCGCGGUACGAGCUGGGUGCGACGCUGAGGAUCAAGGGCGGGCUCCGCGUCCGGAUCAGGAGGCGGGAGGAUCAUUUUUAA